rnacentral:rRNA from 2 species
GGCCGGUAUGAAUGGCGUUACGAAGGCCCCACUGUCUUAAGAGGACUCUCCAUGAAAUUGAAUUCGUAGUGAAGAUGCUACGUCCAUAUUGUAAGACGAAAAGACCCCAUUGAGCUUUACUAAAGACUUGCAUGGCUCAAAAUAAUUUGACUUAAAUAAAAAGUUUAGAUAAUGUGGGACCCGUUUCCGGUUAAUGAAACACCACUCUUUUAUUUUAAGAGAGCUAACAUUACAGGGAUAGUGUAAGUUGGAUAGUUUGGUUGGGGCGACCACCUUUUAAAAGGUAACGAAGGUGAGCUUAAGGUCCGUAGUUAAUAGCCGGUGGCCUGACUGCAAGGGGGACGUCUCGAGCAGACACGUCCUUAGGGAUGUGGACUAUAGUGACCCGUCAUC